rnacentral:misc_RNA from 1 species
GAAAUGCGAUAAGUAAUGUGAAUUGCAGAAUUCAGUGAAUCAUCGAAUCUUUGAACGCACCUUGCGCUCCUUGGUAUUCCUCGGAGCAUGCCUGUUUGAGUAUCAUGAAAUCUUCAAAGUAAAUCUUUUGUUAACUCAAUUGGUUUCUACUUUGGUAUUGGAGGUCUUUGCAGCUUCACACCUGCUCCUCUUUGUUCAUUAGCUGGAUCUCAGUGUUAUGCUUGGUUCCACUCGGCGUGAUAAGUUAUCUAUCGCUGAGGACACUGUAAAAGGUGGCCAAGGUAAAUGCAGAUGAACCGCUUCUAAUAGUCCAUUGACUUGGACAAUACUUUUAUGAUCUGAUCUCAAGUCAGGUAGGACUACCCGCUGAACUUAAGC